GAUCCUGGCUCAGAUUGAACGCUGGCGGCGUGCUUAACACAUGCAAGUCGUACGCAAAGGGACUUCGGUCCCGAGUAAAGUGGCGCACGGGUGAGUAACACGUGGAUAAUCUGCCUCUAUGAUGGGGAUAACAGUUGGAAACGACUGCUAAUAUCGAAUACGCUCAUAAUGAACUUUGUGAGGAAAGGUGGCCUCUGCUUGCAAGCUAUCGCAUAGAGAUGAGUCCG
rnacentral:rRNA from 1 species